rnacentral:rRNA from 1 species
CCUACGGGAGGCAGCAGUGGGGAAUAUUGCGCAAUGGGGGAAACCCUGAUGCAGCGACGCCGCGUGAGUGAAGAAGUAUUUCGGUAUGUAAAGCUCUAUCAGCAGGGAAGAAAAUGACGGUAGCUGAUUAAGAAGCACCGGCUAACUACUGGCCAGCAGCCGCCGUAAUACGUAGGGGGCAAGCGUUAUACGGAUUUACUGGGUGUAACGGUAGCGUAGACGGCAGCGAAAGUCUGAAGUGAAAUGCCUGGGCUUAACCUCGGAACUGCUGUGGAAACUGUGCAGCUAGAGUGCAGGAGAGGUAAGUGGAAUUCCUAGUGUAGCGGUGAAAUGCGUAGAUAUUAGGAGGAACACCAGUGGCGAAGGCGACUUACUGGACUGUAACUGACGUUGAGGCUCGAAAGCGUGGGGAGCAAACAGGAUUAGAUACCCUAGUAGUC